rnacentral:tRNA from 1 species
GGCUCUGUGGCGCAAUGGACACCGCGCAUUGGACUUCUAGUUCUAGGUAAUCUCUGAAGAAGUGAUUCAAAGGUUGUGGGUUCGAGUCCCACCAGAGUCG